UUCCAGACUCCUACGGGAGGCAGCAGUGGGGGAUAUUGCACAAUGGGGGGAACCCUGAUGCAGCGACGCCGCGUGGGUGAAGGAGUAUUUCGGUAUGUAAAGCCCUAUCGGCAGGGAAGAAGAAAGACGGUACCUGACUAAGAAGCCCCGGCUAACUCCGUGCCAGCAGCCGCGGUAAUACGGAGGAUGCGAGCGUUAUCCGGAUUUAUUGGGUUUAAAGGGUGCGUAGGCGGAAUGCCAAGUCAGCGGUAAAAUCGCGGGGCUCAACCUCGCUCCGCCGUUGAAACUGGCGUUCUUGAGUGGGCGAGAAGUAUGCGGAAUGCGUGGUGUAGCGGUGAAAUGCGUAGAUAUCACGCAGAACUCCGAUUGCGAAGGCAGCAUACCGGCGCCCAACUGACGCUGAAGCACGAAAGCGUGGGUAUCGAACAGGAUUAGAUACCCCGGUA
rnacentral:rRNA from 1 species